rnacentral:tRNA from 3 species
GGGUUCAUAGCUCAGCUGGUCAGAGCGCCUGCCUUACAAGCAGGAUGUCGGGGGUUCGAAUCCCUCUGAACCCAACA